UGGUUGAGAAAAACACUGGCAUAGAGGUAGAUUUUUGUUUUUUGUCAGCUUCUUUAGUGGUGACUUUAGUGGUGCCCCACUGACCUCUACUUUGUAGAUGUUGGAGGGGUGGUCUCUCCUUCCACACUGAGGAGUGAUGGUCUUACAGCAGCUGUCUGGGACCACUCUUGAAUCCGCCGCCUGGGACAUGAUGUAGACACUGUGCAUCCAGUCUAACGAGUUGUUGCUGCCGCAGCACUUGAACUACAAGACAGCUCCUCUGUUCACGUAUGACAGCGCAGCAGCCUAAGAAGCCGGUGACCAUCACCAGUCCUCCUGCCAGGAUUAGGAUGUAGGCGGACACGGCGAACGUGCUGGAGGCCAGAAGACUCAGAUACUCUCCUUUAUCCACCAGAGUCCAGAUCCCGACACCCAUCACCACUCCACCGCCCAUCUGAAGGAGAAAAAUACAUCACCUAAUGCUUCUUUUAAUAUAUAGUAUGUAUAUAUCCACACACUGUAAAAAGCAAUUAGUUAAUUUUACUUUUAAAAAAGGGAGUAACCUGUUGAUUUUAAAGUGAUUAGUUGAUUUUACUUAAGGAAAAGUGAGUAACCUGUUGCUGUUUUUAAGCGAUUAGUUGACUUUACUUUAAGAAAAGUGAAUAACCUGUUGUUUUUAAAAGGAUUUAGUUGACUUUACUUUAAGAAAAGUGAGUAACCUGUUUUUUCAAAGGGAUUAGUUGACUUUAUUUUAAGAAAUGUGAAUAACCUUUUACUUUUAAAACGAUUAGUUGACUUUACUUUAA
rnacentral:lncRNA from 1 species